rnacentral:ncRNA from 1 species
GGAAGCCGGUGAGAACCCGGCACGGUCGCGCCACUGUGGACGGUGUACCCCGAAGGGGCACACACCGCGAGUCAGAC